rnacentral:rRNA from 1 species
UACGUAGGGCGCGAGCGUUGUCCGGAAUUAUUGGGCGUAAAGAGCUCGUAGGCGGCCUGUUGCGUCUGCUGUGAAAUCCCUGGGCUCAACCCAGGAACUGCACUCGAAACUGCCUUUCUUGAGUGCCGGAGAGGAAAGCGGAAUACCUGGUGUAGAGGUGAAAUUCGUAGAUAUCAGGUGGAACACCAGUGGCGAAGGCGGCUUUCUGGACCGUAACUGACGCUGAGACACGAAAGCGUGGGUAGCAAACAGG